rnacentral:rRNA from 1 species
GACGUAGGGCGCGAGCGUUGUCCGGAUUUAUUGGGCGUAAAGAGCUUGUAGGCGGUUUGUCGCGUCUGCUGUGAAAUUUCGGGGCUCAACCCCCGAACUUGCAGUGGGUACGGGCAGACUAGAGUGUGGUAGGGGAGACUGGAAUUCCUGGUGUAGCGGUGAAAUGCCGCAGAUAUCAGGAGGAACACCGAUGGCGAAGGCAGGUCUCUGGGCCAUAACUGACGCUGAGAAGCGAAAGCGUGGGGAGCAAACAGG